ensembl:snoRNA
CUCGUUUUGUAGUUCUUACACACGAUGUGUGGGUGUUGGUGAGCAUGAGAAAGAUGUGCCUCCCUCAAACCUUGCUGUGACAUUAGCACAUUACCCGUCUGACA